UACGUAGGAUGCAAGCGUUGUCCGGAUUUACUGGGCGUAAAGCGCGCGCAGGCGGCAGUACAAGUACCCUCUGAAAUCUCCUUGCUCAACGAGGAGGGUGGAGGGUAGACUGUGCAGCUAGAGGAGGGUAGAGGGGGGUAGAAUUGCUGGUGUAGCGGUGAAAUGCGUAGAGAUCAGCAGGAAUACCCGUGGCGAAGGCGGCCCCCUGGGCCCUAAAAUCCCCCUUUUGGAAAGCACACCCUUCGGGGUGGAAGCUGCCGAUAGGAAACCUGACGCUGAGGCGCGAAGGCUAGGGGAGCGAACGGG
rnacentral:rRNA from 1 species